rnacentral:rRNA from 1 species
CUUGAACGCUGGCGGCAGGCCUAACACAUGCAAGUCGAACGAGUGGCGGACGGGUGAGUAAUGUCUGGGAAACUGCCCGAUGGAGGGGGAUAACUACUGGAAACGGUAGCUAAUACCGCAUACCAUCAGAUGUGCCCAUAUGGGAUUAGCUAGUUGGUGGGGUAACGGCUCACCAAGGCGACGAUCCCUAGCUGGUCUGCGAGGAUGACCAGCCACACUGGAACUGAGACACGUUCCAGACUCCUACGGGAGGCAGCAGGGGGGAAUAUUGCACAAUGGGCGCAAGUCUGAUGCAGCCAUGCCGCGUGUAUGAAGAAGGCCUUAGGGUUGUAAAGUACUUUCAGCGGGGAGGCGUUACCCGCAGAAGAAGCACCGGCGAACUCCGUGCCAGCAGCCGCGGUAAUUC